GGGGGUGUUCCGGUUUCGACGGGGUAUAGGACGCUGCACGAUGCAUGUCGAGGUCUAGUCACCUCGUAAAACAGCUAGACACAAAUAAACGCCAACAACGAGCGUUUCGCUCUCGCCGCCUAAGGGCCGCGGGCGAUGCACCGGAUGGUCUCUGGUCCGGGUCGGGUAAAACCGGCAGCAUCGUCAUUCACAGGGACUGGACUGAUGCGGUGUCGCGACGCAUUGGUCGAGAUCAAGCGACUGGCUGAUGACCGGCCCGCCCGAAGGCAGGGUUGUCAGUAAGACUUAAAUUUCCGGGCUAAACAUGUAGAUUCGGCGGAAAAAUUGCUUCGGACGCGGGUUCAAUUCCCGCCACCUCCACCA
rnacentral:tmRNA from 3 species